CCUACGGGUGGCAGCAGUGAGGAAUAUUGGUCAAUGGUCGAGAGGCUGAACCAGCCAAGUCGCGUGAGGGAUGACGGCCCUACGGGUUGUAAACCGCUUUUAUCGGGGAGUAAAGUGAGUCACGUGUGAUGCAUUGUGGGUACCGCAUGAAAAAGCACCGGCUAAUUCCGUGCCAGCAGCCGCGGUAAUACGGGAGAUUCGAGCGUUAUCCGGAUUUAUUGGGUUUAAAGGGAGCGGAGGCGGGAGGUCAAGUGAGCCGUCAAAUUUCGGGGCUCAACCCUGGCACUGCGGUGCGAACUGCAUCCCUUGAGUGCGCGGGACGUAUGCGGAAUGCGUGGUGUAGCGGUGAAAUGCAUAGAUAUCACGAAGAACUCCGAUUGCGAAGGCAGCAUACCGGAGCGCAACUGACGCUGAUGCUCGAAGGCGUGGGUAUCGAACAGGAUUAGAUACCCGGGUAGUC
rnacentral:rRNA from 1 species